rnacentral:rRNA from 1 species
CCCUGGCACAAUACUGACGCUCAGGUGCGAAAGCGUGGGGAGCAAACAGGUAUUAGAUACCCUGGUAGUCCACGCCGUAAACGAUGUCUACUAGCUGUUCGUGGUCUUGUACUGUGAGUAGCGCAGCUAACGCACUAAGUAGACCGCCUGGGGAGUACGGUCGCAAGAUUAAAACUCAAAUGAAUUGACGGGGGCCCGCACAAGCGGUGGAGCAUGUGGUUUAAUUCGACGCAACGCGAAGAACCUUACCUACUCUUGACAUCUAGCGAAGAUUGCAGAGAUGCAGUUGUGCCUUCGGGAACGCUAAGACAGGUGCUGCAUGGCUGUCGUCAGCUCGUGUUGUGAAAUGUUGGGUUAAGUCCCGCAACGAGCGCAACCCUUAUCCUUAGUUGCCAGCACGUAAUGGUGGGAACUCUAGGGAGACUGCCGGUGAUAAACCGGAGGAAGGUGGGGACGACGUCAAGUCAUCAUGGCCCUUACGAGUAGGGCUACACACGUGCUACAAUGGUACGUACAGAGGGAGGCAAGCUGGCGACAGUGAGCGGAUCUCUUAAAGCGUAUCGUAGUCCGGAUCGCAGUCUGCAACUCGACUGCGUGAAGUCGGAAUCGCUAGUAAUCGCAAAUCAGAAAUGUUGCGGUGAAUACGUUCCCGGGCCUUGUACACACCGCCCGUCACACCAUGGGAGUGGGUUGCAAAAGAAGUAGGUAGCUUACCCUUCGGGAGGGCGCUUACCACUUUGUGAUUCAUGACUGGGGUGAAGUCGUAACAAGGGUAACCAAU